AUAUUGGACAAUGGGGGCAACCCUGAUCCAGCCAUGCCGCGUGUGUGAAGAAGGUCUUCGGAUUGUAAAGCACUUUAAGUUGGGAGGAAGGGCGUCAAGCUAAUACCUUGAUGUUUUGACGUUACCAACAGAAUAAGCACCGGCUAACUCUGUGCCAGCAGCCCAGGCAAUACAGAGGGUGCAAGCGUUAAUCGGAAUUACUUGGCGUAAAGCGCGCGUAGUUGGUUUGUUAAGUUGGAAGUGAAAGCCCCGGGCUCAACCUGGGAACUGCUUUCAAAACUGGCAAGCUAGAGUAUGGCAGAGGGUGGUGGAAUUUCCUGUGUAGCGGUGAAAUGCGUAGAUAUAGGAAGGAACACCAGUGGCGAAGGCGACUACCUGGACUGAUACUGACACUGAGGUGCGAAAGCGUGGGGAGCAAAC
rnacentral:rRNA from 1 species